rnacentral:rRNA from 1 species
GUGUCAGCAGCCGCGGUAAUACGUAGGGUGCAAGCGUUGUCCGGAAUUAUUGGGCGUAAAGAGCUCGUAGGCGGUUUGUCGCGUCUGCUGUGAAAAUCCGAGGCUCAACCUCGGACUUGCAGUGGGUACGGGCAGACUAGAGUGCAGUAGGGGAGAAGGGAAUUCCUGGUGUAGCGGUGGAAUGCGCAGAUAUCAGGAGGAACACCGAUGGCGAAGGCACUUCUCUGGGCUGUAACUGACGCUGAGGAGCGAAAGCGUGGGGAGCGAACAGGAUUAGAAACCCCGGUAGUCC